GAUCCACACUAAUUAUUUACCCCGACAACAUGAAUAUACGGUUGUGAUAUUUAGUUUUUUAUAUAUAUAUAUGUCAUAGGUCAUUAAAAAAUUAGUAUUUUUGCAAAAAAACUAUGCUCUUUGUGACCUAAUUAUUAUUUUUCCAAACAGUCAGCUGCUUUUCAGACGUACUGUAGACAGACUAACAGCAAGCGAACUACAAUCAUUAUAUAG